GUGGGAGUAGCUUAGUGGUGGAGUCCUUGCCUAGCAUGCAUGAAGCUCUGGGUUCGAUGCCUCAGUUCCACA
rnacentral:tRNA from 1 species